UUACAAACAUACCUGUACCAGCAUUC
rnacentral:piRNA from 1 species